rnacentral:rRNA from 1 species
UACAGAGGGGGCAAGCGUUGUUCGGAAUUACUGGGCGUAAAGGGCGCGUAGGCGGCCUGUUAAGUCGAACGUGAAAUCCCCGGGCUCAACCCGGGAACUGCGUCCGAUACUGGCAGGCUUGAAUUCGGGAGAGGGAUGUGGAAUUCCAGGUGUAGCGGUGAAAUGCGUAGAUAUUGGGGGGAACACCAGAUGCGAAGGCGGGUCACUGGGCUGAUACUGACGCUGAAGCGCGAAAGCCAGGGGAGCGAACGGG